AGUUUAAAUGGUGGGUAUAAGUUUCCGGGAAGGCCGGAUGCACGCUCUCUUUAGUGUUCGAGCCUGACACGGACAGGCGUCAAUAAGUCGCCAUGCCGGUUGCCAAGACUUGGGUUUGCAGUAAGACGUACGUCACCCCAAGACGUCCUUUUGAGAAGUCACGUCUUGACCAGGAGUUAAGACUCAUUGGUGAGUAUGGUCUCAGGAAUAAGAGAGAAGUCUGGAGGGUGAAGUUCACUCUGGCCAAAAUCCGCAAGGCUGCCAGAGAGCUGCUCACUCUGGAUGAGAAGGAUCCUAAGCGUCUCUUUGAAGGUAAUGCUCUGCUCAGGCGUCUGGUGCGUAUUGGAGUGCUGGAUGAGGGAAAGAUGAAGCUCGAUUACAUUCUGGGCCUGAAAGUGGAGGAUUUCUUGGAGAGGAGGUUGCAGACUCAAGUCUUCAAGCUUGGGCUGGCCAAGAGUAUCCACCAUGCACGUGUGCUCAUUCGUCAGAGGCACAUCCGCUGACCACGUUUAAACUCCUCCCAGUGAGGUGGAAUGAAAUAUUCUGCAAGGUCAAUUCGGUGAUUAAACCGUAUACCUUUGCUUGUAAGCCAAAAAUCUAGACCUUGCCAUGAAGUCUGGGGUGCUCUAGUGCACGAAACAGUCGGAGGGUGCGUAAGCAGGUUGUGAACAUCCCCUCCUUUGUGGUGAGGCUGGACAGCCAGAAACACAUCGACUUCUCCCUCCGCUCUCCAUAUGGUGGUGGCCGUCCUGGCCGCGUCAAGAGAAAGAACGCCAAGAAAGCCCAGGGUGGUGGUGGAGGCGGUGAUGAUGAAGAGGAAGAUUAAACUGUUUCCUCUUAAAGAGGUGGAGGGACUCAGCAGUGCUUGCUCUCUCUUCUCCCUCAAGUUUUCAAUAAAAAUGGUUCAUUCCCAA